CCUGCAUGAAGUCGGAAUUGCUAGUAAUCGUGGAUCAGCAUGCCACGGUGAGUACGUUCCCGGGCCUUGUACACACCGCCCGUCACACCAUGGGAGUCGGUAACACCCGAAGCCUGUAGUCUAACCGCAAGGAGGACGCAGUCGAAGGUGGGAUUGAUGACUGGGGUGAAGUCGUAACAAGGUACC
rnacentral:rRNA from 1 species